rnacentral:tRNA from 1 species
ACCGGCUUGGCAGACUACAUGCGUAAGGCUUAGGAUCUUGUUAUAGCUUAUUAUAGGCUAGCCGGCU